AUUGAACGCUGGCGGCAUGCCUUACACAUGCAAGUCGAACGGCAGCGGACCUUCGGUUGCCGGCGAGUGGCGAACGGGUGAGUAAAGUAUCGGAACGUACCUUUCAGUGGGGGAUAACGUAGCGAAAGUUACGCUAAUACCGCAUAUUCUGUGAGCAGGAAAGCAGGGGAUCGCAAGACCUUGCGCUGAUUGAGCGGCCGAUAUCAGAUUAGCUAGUUGGUGAGGUAAAGGCUCACCAAGGCGACGAUCUGUAGCGGGUCUGAGAGGAUGAUCCGCCACACUGGAACUGAGACACGGUCCAGACUCCUACGGGAGGCAGCAGUGGGGAAUUUUGGACAAUGGGGGCAACCCUGAUCCAGCCAUGCCGCGUGAGUGAAGAAGGCCUUCGGGUUGUAAAGCUCUUUCGGCCGGGAAGAAAUCGCGCCAGUUAAUACCUGGUGUGGAUGGCGGUACCGGAAUAAGAAGCACCGGCUAACUACGUGCCAGCCGCCGCGGUAA
rnacentral:rRNA from 1 species